ensembl:snRNA U1 U1 spliceosomal RNA
AGAUUUUCAAAAUAGAUGUUGAUUGAUCAUGAAGGUGGUUUUCCCAGGGUGCGGCUCAUCCAUUGCACUCCGGAUGUGCUGACUCCUGCAAUUUCUCCAAAUGCAGGAAACUCGACUGCAUAAUUUGUGGUAGUGGGGAACUGUGUUCGCUCUUUCCCCUG